CACGUUCGCAUCGAAGGGUAACCUCAACCACGCCCGAGGCACGCAGUCGCCAUUCCCACACACACACACACACACCCCACGUGCGCUCGGCCUCCGCGACGUGGGACCCCGGAGGGGACGGAAGCCCGCCAAGGGCAAUGCAGGAACUUCCGGGCGGGCGGGCCCGCCACACGCAGCGAGACAAUCCUAUGUUUCACAGCCACCUCGUGGUGCCCAGGGGAAAGCGGGAGGGCCAAAGUCAGGUCUGCCCCCCGAAACCAGCGAAGAUCGGGGUUUAAGGACCCGGAUGGGCCCCUUUGUCUUCCCCUCCGCAGCCACGCAGAAGGUCCAGCCACUCAUCGCCCCAGCCGCCUCAGCCCAAGAAGCUGAAGGAGGCAGGAGCGGGCUCCGCCUCCUCCCGGCCCCGGUGCGAGCGCAGCGCCUGUUACACUAAAGUGUCUCCGCCUUCCCUUUGCCUCCGUGGCAGCGAUGGCCGAGUGGUUAAGGCGUUGGACUUGAAAUCCAAUGGGGUCUCCCCGCGCAGGUUCGAACCCUGCUCGCUGCGGAAGCGUGUGCUUCAGUUUUUCGCCUUUUACACAAACUACUUCAAAAUCCAUCAUCUUCCUGUGGCUUGUAUCCUCCAGACAAAAUCUAGGGAAUGCUUUCGUGGACCCGAGGACCCUGAAGUGUCGGUACUGCAAAGAGCGUAGUUUAUAAUGUGGGAAGAAAUCUCCCCUAAAGGCGAGAGAGCAAAUUUAGAAUCUUGAUGUUAGCACGAAGGGCAGACACAAGAACGAUGGCAUUAGUGGCUUUCCCAGGAUUCUUGUCCCCCUGUAACUAAGGGCAUCCUCCUCUUCCCCUGAAAAACCCCGAAGUGCUGUGCAGUGGGAAACUUUUUAAAAAUAAUUCCCCUUUUAAUGUGCGCUAAGGUCCACACCGUGGAACCCAUGUAGACCCUGUGUGCCUUCUGCUUUUGACACGGGUCUCACUGUGUUUGCCUGAUCAAAGCCCAGAUUCCUGGGCUCAAGUGAUGUGCCCCGUGUUCUCCCAGAGCCCUGAGAGCCGGGAGAGGCGCGCCGGUACCCAGACCCGGCUGGCGGUGAAAACGACGCCCGCAGUGUUCGUGAGUGGUGCACCUGCACUGGCCCAGUGCAAAACUCGGGACGGGUUUGUGACGUUGAUGUGGGGUAGCUCUGUCCUCCCAAUCAGGAAGGGAGGAGGGAGGCUCAAGACGCAGGAAGCGAGGGAGAGUUACAAGGCCCAGGAGGCUGAGAGAGAGACGGCUGCAGAAGAGAGGACUCCGGCGGCGGAGUUGUCUGCAAGUGGAGCUGGGAGCAGGAAUCCAUCUUUCGUGAGAGGUCAGCCAUGCUGAGGUCGGCUUUUCAGAGACGCAGCGACAUGUGAGUCACUCAGGGUCUUCUGGGUGACUUCUCACUCAUGCUCCUAUGCAGAGGAAGAGGCUCACGGAUGCUGUUAUCGAUCGCUUUUCCUGUCCCUGCUUUUCACCGAGGAAAACCAGCCACCGUAUCGUUCAGAUCUACUUGUGACAGUCUGAUCUUGGUUUACAUCCAUCUGAGCUUGAAAAAUGACCGCUCUCAGACCGGUAGAUGCUUCCUGAGGUACUCGGCUCUCGCACGGAUUGAUACGUCAGCAUCUUCUUGGAGUGGUGAAGUCUCUCUGAUCAGUCCUUGUUUUCCCCACCGCUGCUCUUUACCUUUCAAAUAAAUAAAUAAACAAAUAAAUAAUAAACAAAUAAAUAAAUGUUUUUGAAAAGCC